CGCAUUGUAAUGUGUACUUAGAUCAGCUUAUACUAAGAACUGUGUCCACACAAGAUUAUACGCUUUUUGGUCAAGACAAAGUACAAAAAUCAAAGUCUAAGCUACAUGCAGGGGGAUGUCUAUCCCGUUCUAUCAUAAUAUACAAAUGAUUCACUUCCGCUGAGAAAGCCGGAUAUUGCUCUCCCCAUUACACACAGAGUUCACGCACAGGCAGCGACCGACGCCUUACUAGAGCAUCAUUCAUCAGCCUUCUUCUCCUCAUCGCCGUGGACCAGCUCGCUGCACUACUGCACAUGCGCAGAGUUUGACCACUAAGGACCCCACGCAACAGUCGUACAUAUCAACCAGCUAUAAAAAGUGUUAAAUAUUGUAUAGCAGGGGUGAAAAUUUUUUUAAAACAUCGCCAUCACUCUGGUCGGGAAAUUUGUUUUUCUACCUUGGAUGUUGAAUUGAAUUCGACCCAGUUACAAUAUGCCGAUUAACCAAGUCCAAAACUUGCAGAAACAGUUAGCCCAACUCAAGGAAGAGGCCAAAGUCAACAGGAUACCCGUAUCUGAAGCCGUCAAAGACCUUCUAAGCUACAUCAGCCAAAAUAUACACGAAGAUUCCCUCGUAAAUGGCAUUAACCAAUCCAAUAAUCCGUUCAUUCCCAAAAGUCCAUGCAGCAUCAUGUGAACGAUGACAGGUUACCAUUUCCUUCCAUCCACACACAGAACCAUGAGGAGCCACCAUUGUGAUUUCAGUAGACCUCCACAAGUCUCUGUGAUUCAUGUCUUUGUUUUGUAUAGAUAUAGGAAUACACUUUUUUCUUGUUCUCUUUGGUCCUAGAUUUAAAUAAACAGUAUGAAUGAC